rnacentral:rRNA from 1 species
UACGGAGGGUGCAAGCGUUGUUCGGAUUUACUGGGCGUAAAGCGCGCGCAGGUGGGUGAACAAGUCGGAAGUGAAAUCUUGAGGCUCAACCUCGAGGCUGCUCCCGAAACUGUUCGCCUAGGGACUGGUAGAGGCUGGUAGAAUUCCCGGUGUAGCGGUGGAAUGCGUAGGAGAUCGGGAAGAAUACCCGUGGCGGAAAGGCGGCCCAGCUGGGC